AGAAAAUUGACUUUGCGUUCUAUUUCUACUCAGAUUUAAGAGGAUGCAUCCUCUUCACUGUGGACAUUCCCAGCAUUGGUGCAGAUGGCAAACCAUUCCUCCCCUUGGUGGAUGGCUUCACGAAUUGUUGGGAUGGAGAACUGUACAUCUCUUGGUGGCCAACUAUCUCAGAAUGAUGAAAGCCAUUGACAGACUCUGAAAUGGCCACGUGUCAAGUAUAUCAUCUGUAGCACACUGUCUGGUAUUCAAAGUCCAAUUCUACAAACACCGAUUAACCAUGUGCCAGGAAUUGUUCUUGAGACUGUGGAUAUGAAGCCAAGACACCAACCCCUCUGUCCUUCUGCAACUUGUAUUCUACUGGAACAGCAGUGGGAGAAGGAUACAAUAUAUGCUUAUAUAUUGCCAGAAUCAAAAGCAGAAGCUGAAUGUUGGACCACUCAAAGGGAACUGGAAAUCGUCGACUUCAAGCACACCUUUGAACAGUGCAUCCUGCCAUUACGACAUUCAUAAAAGGCUGUGGGAAUGCCGCUGGUUAUAUCUACCUACUUUCUUGGGAAGAAAAUCUGAAAAUGAAAAGACUCAACAAAAGACUCUAAGAUGGAAGGAGAUUGUUGUGAAGGAAAUGUCCUGGAUUUUUUUUUUAUCUGUUGCCAAGGUACCCAGGGGCCUAGUUUACAAAAAGAACCCUCCUUAGAGAUAUCACUUGUGAAAACCAUAAUUUCAGUUCCAGGGGACAUGCAAAUGGCCAUUAUGAGCAAUGAGUUAGGAUAAGGAGAAUUAACACACAUUUUAAAAAUUGGAAAUGAAAUGGUGGGGGGUGGGGGAGGAGUAUCUGAUACAAACCAAUGCAUCCAACAUCUUUUGGUGGUGGGGAG
rnacentral:lncRNA from 1 species